rnacentral:rRNA from 1 species
GACGAACGCUGGCGGCGUGCUUAACACAUGCAAGUCGAACGAACAGAGGGAAAGAUUUUGCUCUUUCCGGAAUUGAGUGGCAAACGGGUGACUAACACGUAAACCACCUGCCUUCAGGAUGGGGACAACAGACGGCAACGACUGCUAAUACCGAAUUAGUUCCACGCGCUGCAUGGUCCAUGGAAGCAAAGGUGGCCUCUCUCUGUAAGCUAUCGCCUCAAGAUGGGUUUGUGUCUGAUUAGCUGGUUGGAGGGGUAACGGCCCACCAAGGCGACGAGCAGUAGCCGGUCUGAGAGGAUGAACGGCCACACUGGAAUUGAGACACGGUCCAGACUCCUACGGGAGGCAGCAGUGGGGAAUCUUCCGCAAUGGGCGAAAGCCUGACGGAGCAACGCCGCGUGAGUGAUGACGGCCUUCGGGUUGUAAAACUCUGUUAUCCGGGACGAAAAGGCAGAGAGGGAAGAACAAACUGCAUGAACGUUACCGGAAAAGCAAGCCACGGCAAACUACUG